rnacentral:lncRNA from 10 species
AGAGUCGUGGGGAUUUUACGGGUGGAGUUACUCCGAAACCUUUAAGGCCGAGUGUGAUAGGUAGUUCAAAGCUUCCUGUUUCUUCAGUCUGACAGCUUCAAAUGUCCCGGGUUGUGCUCAAAGCCUCCCUCUUGUGAGAAGAAUCUCUUUGGUUGCCUGUUAAAGCGGUCAGCCAGCUUGCAACACGGAAGCAGCUUUUAGAGGAAUUAAAACCAAAACAAGGAGCAAAUUCUGGAUUAAAAAGAUAUUUGCAACCAUUCUUCCAAUCAAUUUUAGAAAAUUUCCACCACCUCAAAAAGAAAUCCUGUUUUGGGAUCAAGAUGAUGCUGACCUCAUAAAAUGAACUGGGGAAGAGUCCCUCCCCCUCAGUUUUUUUGGAAUAGUUUCUGCAGGAAUGGUACCAGCUCUUCUUUGUACAUCUGGUUGAAUUCAGCUGUGAAUCCAUCAUGUCCUGGGCUUUUUUGUU